CAAAAUAAAGCGUUUAUUCCAGAAUUGCAAGGAAUUGCAAUUUGAGAUAUGCAUGCUAUAGUGGACUAUAGGCACAUUAAAAGAGGUUGUGGCAACGAGAAAAGACAAAGUCCACAUAAGCUUCUUUAAAACAAGUACCGUUGAUCACAGGAGCCUGUUGCAGGAGUUGGCUUUAGCUUAUUGUGGAGACACCCACUGUUAGGCAAAUAUUCUUAUGCAAGUGGUUUAUCUAUAAUACUGCGGAUUUUAGGAACUUCUUGAGAUAAUUUUUGUGACAGGCAUUUGUUAGGGUUUGACAUAAGUGACUCCAUUUUGAUACUGAUAAUUUCCAAAAAGUCCUUACUCCCAAGGUGAUGGUAUUAGGAGGUGGGACCUCUGGGAAGUAAUUAGUGAAAGGGUCUUGUGUUGGUUCGAACCCCAAGAGCGUGGCCAACAGACAACAUGAGGCAGUGUGUGUGCAGGUGGGCUGAGGCUUAAAAUGGCGUCAGCACCAAAUGAGGACGGGGCAGGGGUUUUGUAGUCUCCUGUAAACAGGAAGUUUCUCAGUCUGUUGUAACCGCUACAUUGUACCCGGAUGACGUCUCUCUCGGUCUUCAGGGGGUAGGUGUCUUCUGGCCCGCUCUCUUCCCGCUUCUGCUAUCUUGCUGACACAUGCUGCUGGCGCGAGUGGCCUUGCGCCUUGGGACCGGGCCCAAGGAGGGAGGGGAGGGAGGGGUCAUUCAUUCUCUUAAGCUUUCAGGCCCCACGGAGAAUCUUUCAAUUACAUAAUGGGUCCUGAGCCCUCAUGAACUGGAUCAAUGCCUUCAUAAAAGAGACCCCAGAGGCCAGGCAUGGUGGCUCACAACUGUAAUCCCAGCACUGUGGGAGGCCAAGACAGGUGGAUCACAAGGUCAGGAGUUCGAGACUAGCCUGGCCAAGAUGGUGAAACCCCGUCUCUACUAAAAAUAAAAAAAAAAUUAGCUGGGCACAGUGGUAGGUGCCUGUAGUCCCAGCUACUCGGGAGGCUGAGGCAGGAGAAUCGCUUGAACCUCGGAGGCAGAGGUUGCAGGGAGCUGAGAUCAUGCCAAUGCACUCUAGCCUGGGUGACAGAGCGAGACUCCAUCUCAAAAAAAAAAAAAAAAAAAAAAAGAAGCGAUCCUAGAGACACCUUUGCCUCUUCUACCAUGUGAAGACUUAGUGAGAAGCUGCCAUCUGUGAAUCAGGAAGAGGUCCUCACCAGACACCAAAUCUGCCAGUGUCUUGACUUGGACUUCCCAGCCUCCAGAGCUGUAAGAAAUAAAUGGUUAUUGUUCAUGAGCCAUCCAGUGUAUGGUAUUUUGUUUUAGCAGCCCAGAUGGACUAAGACAUUGCAUUUUUCAUUCUUUUUUUUAUUUUAAACAAGAAUUUUCCCACCACCUACAAUGUGGGCUGUGCUGGGCAUUAUGAAGGACACAAAGAUGGGGACUGGAACAGCCUGUCUACCUCCUGGAAAGGAGGCACUUUUUCUGUCCCUGAAGGCAAACAGAGGUGGGAGAUACACAGAUUAUGAUUGCUAAAUUGACCAGAGGCUGUUGAUAACCAAUUGCAGUGUGCAUUUUCUAUGCUAUGGUAGGAGAGUAGCCCACCAGAAAACUAGGCAGGAAAAUGGGAAGGCUUCAGGGAUGCCGUGAUUGAGGCUGUUGGUAUGGGGAAGCUGGAAGUGCACUCACCAGAAGUGGGGCUAACCAUGUGAUUGGUCUGGGGAGCUUAUUUGGGUUUCUUGGGUUGGUCAUAAAUAGGAAGCAGGAUGGGAGUAGGGUGGGGAGUUAGAGAUGCUGCCAGUUAUCGCCCAAGUCCUGAUGGUUUGGGGUUGAUUGCUGCAGAAGGCUGUGGGUCCGAAUUCUGUUGCUGUGCGUCAUGUGACCACACUAUUUAUUUGUAUAUUUAGUCCUCACACCCCUCCUCAUCCUCCCCCUGGCAGGGCUGGGAUAAUCCUUUUUUUAAACGGAUUUACUUAUUUUUAUGUUUUAGUUUUUAGACACAGGGUCUUGCUCUGUGGCCUGGGCAGGAGUGUAGCGGUGUGAUCACAGCUCACUGCAGCUUCAGCCUCCUGGGCUCAAGUGAUUCUUCUGCCUCAGCUUCUUGAGUGCCUGAGACUACAAAUGUGCACAACCACACCCAGUGAAUUAUUUUUUUAUUUUGUAGAGACGGGGUCUCCCUGUGAUACCCAGGCUGGUCUUGAACUCCUCGGCUCAAGCGCUCCUCCCACCUCGGC
rnacentral:lncRNA from 10 species